rnacentral:rRNA from 1 species
GGGGAAGUGAAACAUCUCAGUACCCACAGGAAGAGAAAGCAACGCGAUUCCGUGAGUAGUGGCGAGCGAAAGCGGAAGAGGCUAAACCUCAGUUGUGUGAUACCUGUCAGGGGUUGCAGCGUGGGGGGUCGUGGGACUUCUUUUGUCAGUGCUGACACGCUGGCGUGGAGUACAAAAAUUUGCGUCAUAGUCGAAGGACUUUUGAAUGGUCCGGCAUAGAGGGUGCGACCCCCGUAGACGAAAUGUCGUGAACUCCAUUAAGAAGCACCCAAGUAGCACGGGGCCCGAGAAAUCCCCGUGUGAAUCUGGCGGGACCACCCGCUAAGCCUAAAAUAUUCCCUGGUGACCGAUAGCGGACAAGUACCGUGAGGGAAAGGUGAAAAGUACCCCGGGAGGGGAGUGAAAUAGAUCCUGAAACCGUUUGCCUACAAUCCGUUGGAGCCUCCUUGUGGGGUGACAGCGUGCCUUUUUG